rnacentral:rRNA from 1 species
CCUACGGGUUGCAGCAGUGGGGAAUAUUGCACAAUGGGCGCAAGCCUGAUGCAGCCAUGCCGCGUGUAUGAAGAAGGCCUUAGGGUUGUAAAGUACUUUCAGUUGGGAGGAAGGCGUUGAUGCUAAGAUCAUCAACGAUUGACGUUACCAACAGAAAAAGCACCGGCUAGCUCCGUGCCAGCAGCCGCGGUAAUACGGAGGGUGCAAGCGUUAAUCGGAAUUACUGGGCGUAAAGCGCACGCAGGCGGUUGAUUAAGUUAGAUGUGAAAUCCCCGGGCUUAACCUGGGAAUGGCAUCUAAGACUGGUCAGCUAGAGUCUUGUAGAGGGGGGUAGAAUUCCAUGUGUAGCGGUGAAAUGCGUAGAGGUGUGGAGGAAUACCGGUGGCGAAGGCGGCCCCCUGGUCAAAGACUGACGCUCAGGUGCGAAAGCGUGGGGAGCAAACAGGAUUAGAUACCCUAGUAGUC